UACGUAGGGUGCAAGCGUUGUCCGGAAUUAUUGGGCGUAAAGAGCUCGUAGGCGGUUUGUCACGUCGGAUGUGAAACCCUGAGGCUCAACCUCAGGCCUGCAUUCGAUACGGGCAGACUAGAAUUCGGCAGGGGAGACUGGAAGUUCCUGGUGUAGCGGUGAAAUGCGCAGAUAAUCAGGAGGAACACCGGUGGCGAAGGCGGGUCUCUGGGCCGAAUGAUUGACGCUGGACGGAGCGAAAGCCGUGGGGGAGGCAAAACAGGA
rnacentral:rRNA from 1 species